GGUUUGGUUUGGGUGUCUUCAGAUUUCCUUGUCUGUAGGUCCUCACAGUUACUCUACAACUCAGAACAGCAACUGCUGAGGCUGCCUUGGGGAGAGGAUGAUCCUAAACAAAGCUCUGAUGCUGGGGGCCCUCGUCCUGACCACUGCGAUGAGCCCCUGUGGAGGUGAAGACAUUGUGGCUGACCACGUUGCCGCUUACGGUAUAAACUUGUACCAGUCUUACGGUCCCUCUGGCCAGUACACCCAUGAAUUCGAUGGAGAUGAGCAGUUCUACGUGGACCUGGGAAGAAAGGAGACUAUCUGGCAGUUGCCUAUGUUCAGCAAAUUUAUAAGUUUUGACCCACAGGGCGCACUGACAAACAUCGCUACGGCAAAAUACAACUUGGACAUCCUGAUUAAACAGUCCAACUCUACCGCUGCUUCCAAUGAGGUUCCUGAGGUCACAGUGUUUUCCAAGUCUCCCGUGGCGCUGGGUCAGCCCAACACCCUCAUCUGCCUGGACAACAUCUUUCCUCCUGUGAUCAACAUCACUUGGUUUUAAAAUGGACGCUUAGUUCCAGAAGGUAUUUCCGAGACAACUUUCUACUCCAUGAGUGACCGCUCCUUCCUCGGGCUCAGUUACCUCACUUUUCUCCCCUCCAUUGAUGAUUUUUAUGACUACAAGAUGGAGCACUGGGGCCUGGAAGAGUCACUCCUCAAGCACUGGGAACCUGAGAUUUCCACCCCUAUGUCAGAGCUGACAGAGACCAUUUGGUGUAAAGCAAAUCUGCAACCUCAAGUUGGUUGCAGGCCUCGUGGGCAUUCUGAUGGGCACCAUCCUCAUUAUCUGAGGCAUGAUUCAGGUCAUCCCUGAGAAUGGAAGACCUCAUGUCAGAAUUUUAGCAGAUGUAUCAGCCCCUUAUCUCAGGUCAUAUUGA